rnacentral:tRNA from 1 species
UGAGGUGGCGGAGAGGCUUAACGCAUCGGUCUUGAAAACCGAAGGUCCGCACGGAUCCAAGGGUUCGAAUCCCUCCUUCAG